GUCGGCUGCGAUGGUCCUGUUGAGGCUUU
rnacentral:sRNA from 1 species